GGCAAAACAACCAGUGGAGCAGCACUCGCGAUGCGCAUGCGGGAGGUACAGAACGUUCAGAAAGGAAAGGAAAGAAGACGGGGGGAGAACCAAAGGAGAAAGAUAACUGCUUAGUGAUGACGUAAAGAUGAGUGGGUGUGGCAUCUCCAACAUUCCCAAACCAAGUUUCCAUGCCAUGCAUCAUGAAUGGUUAGAGACUGGCUGAGCCUGCGGUCACUCGGGCCAGCCACCAUUUUCUUAUCUCGUGUUAACCACAGCUGGAUGCAAAAAAACGUUCGAAACGUUAACGAUGCCCCUACAGGGUGAGAUAAAAAAAAUCCCCACAUAGGGCCUGAAGAAAUGGCUGCUCACGCAGAGGACCUGGAUUUGCUUUAAAGCACCCAUAUGGACUACAACUAUCUGUGACUCAAGUUCUGGGGAAUCUACCAGCCUCUUCUGAUAUCUGCUAAAACCAAGUGUGAAUGUGCUGUAAUGUGGAUUGUUCUGGAAAGUGGACAGCUUCCUGGGAUGUUAUUACUUCUGACGAUGGAGACACUGAGGAGAACCAGCGGAAGCAGCCUUUUCAUUACUCCAGAGCAUCAUUCAAAUACCAUCGUCUUCUUUGGGCUUCAUGAUGUGCAGAUGAUUGGAAAGCAGAGGAUGCCUCAGGACCAUGGGGUUUUAACUCUUCCUUGUUACGGCAACAGCUUUGUGAACUGGAAUUAAAUUGGUAUGGAAUAGCAA